GAUGAACGCUGGCGGCGUGCCUAAUACAUGCAAGUCGAGCGAACAGACGAGGAGCUUGCUCCUCUGACGUUAGCGGCGGACGGGUGAGUAACACGUGGAUAACCUACCUAUAAGACUGGGAUAACUUCGGGAAACCGGAGCUAAUACCGGAUAAUAUAUUGAACCGCAUGGUUCAAUAGUGAAAGACGGUUUUGCUGUCACUUAUAGAUGGAUCCGCGCCGCAUUAGCUAGUUGGUAAGGUAACGGCUUACCAAGGCAACGAUGCGUAGCCGACCUGAGAGGAGGAUAGGCAAAACGGGAAAUGAGAAACGGUCCAGACUACGAGGGGAGGAAGCAGUGGGGAAGAUGGGACAAGGGGCGAAAGCCUGACGUAGCAAUGCCGAGUGAGUGAAGAAGGUCUGCGGAUUGGAAAACCGUGGUAUGGGGAAAGAAAAGAAGUAGGUGAAUACCUGGCGGUUCGGAGGGGAGCUAAUCAAAAAGCAACGGCUAACUACGUG
rnacentral:rRNA from 1 species